rnacentral:rRNA from 1 species
CCCUUAGAUGUUCUGGGCCGCACGCGCGCUACACUGAAGGGAUCAGCGUGUUUUCCCUUUCCGAGAGGAACGGGUAACCCGCUGAACCCCCUUCGUGGUAGGGAUCGGAGCUUGCAAUUGUUCUCCGUGAACCAGGAAUUCCCAGUAAGCGCAAGUCAUAAGCUUGCGUUGAUUACGUCCCUGCCCUUUGUACACACCGCCCGUCGCUACUACCGAUUGAACGUUGUAGUGAGGUAUUUGGACUGGGCCUUGGGAGGUUUCGGCCUCCCUUGUUGCUCGGAAAGACUCCCAAACUUGAGCGUUUAGAGGAAGUAAAAGUCGUAACA